rnacentral:rRNA from 1 species
CCUACGGGUGGCAGCAGUGAGGAAUAUUGGUCAAUGGGCGCGAGCCUGAACCAGCCAAGUAGCGUGAAGGAUGACUGCCCUACGGGUUGUAAACUUCUUUUAUAAAGGAAUAAAGUGAGGCACGUGUGCCUUUUUGUAUGUACUUUAUGAAUAAGGAUCGGCUAACUCCGUGCCAGCAGCCGCGGUAAUACGGAGGAUCCGAGCGUUAUCCGGAUUUAUGGGGUUUAAUGGGAGCGUAGAGGGGUUGUUAAGUCCGUGGUGAAAGUUUGCGGCUCAACCGUAAAAUUUCAAUUGAUACGGGCAGUCUUGAGUACAGUUGAGGUAGGUGGACUUCGUGGUGUAGCUGUGA